rnacentral:rRNA from 1 species
GAGUUUGAUCAUGGCUCAGGAUGAACGCUGGCGGCGUGCCUAAUACAUGCAAGUCGAGCGAACAGAUAAGGAGCUUGCUCCUUUGAAGUUAGCGGCGGACGGGUGAGUAACACGUGGGUAACCUACCUAUAAGACUGGGAUAACUUCGGGAAACCGGAGCUAAUACCGGAUAACAUUUAGAACUGCAUGGUUCUAAAGUGAAAGAUGGUUUUGCUAUCACUUAUAGAUGGACCCGCGCCGUAUUAGCUAGUUGGUAAGGUAACGGCUUACCAAGGCGACGAUACGUAGCCGACCUGAGAGGGUGAUCGGCCACACUGGAACUGAGACACGGUCCAGACUCCUACGGGAGGCAGCAGUAGGGAAUCUUCCGCAAUGGGCGAAAGCCUGACGGAGCAACGCCGCGUGAGUGAUGAAGGGUUUCGGCUCGUAAAACUCUGUUAUUAGGGAAGAACAAAUGUGUAAGUAACUGUGCACAUCUUGACGGUACCUAAUCAGAAGCACGGCUAACUACGUGCCAGCCGCCGCGGU